UACGGGGGGAGCAAGCGUUGUUCGGAUUUACUGGGCGUAAAGCGCACGCAGGCGGUUUCUUAAGUUUGACGUGAAAACUCCUGGCUUAACUGGGAGAGGUCGUUGAAGACUGGGGAACUUGAGGCAAUGAGAGGGAUGUAGAAUUCACGGUGUAGUGGUGGAAUGCGUAGAUAUCGUGAGGAAUACCAGUGGCGAAAGCGACACCCUGGCAUUAGCCUGACGCUCAUGUGCGAAGGCGUGGGGAGCGAACGGG
rnacentral:rRNA from 1 species